GAUGAACGCUGGCGGCGUGCCUAAUACAUGCAAGUCGAGCGAACAGACGAGGAGCUUGCUCCUCUGACGUUAGCGGCGGACGGGUGAGUAACACGUGGAUAACCUACCUAUCAGACUGGGAUAACUUCGGGAAACCGGCGCUAAUCCCGGAUAAUCUAUUGAACCGCAUGGUUCAAUAGUGAAAGACGGUUUUGCUGUCACUUAUAGAUGGAUCCGCGCCGCAUUAGCUAGUUGGUAAGGUAACGGCUUACCAAGGCAACGAUGCGUAGCCGACCUGAGAGGGUGAUCGGCCACACUGGAACGGAGACACGGUCCAGACUCCUACGGGAGGCAGCAGUAGGGAAUCUUCCGCAAUGGGCGAAAGCCUGACGGAGCAACGCCGCGUGAGUGAUGAAGGUCUUCGGAGCGUAAAACUCUGUUAUUAGGGAAGAACAAAUGUGUAAGUAACUAUGCACGUCUUGACGGUACCUAAUCAGAAAGCCACGGCUAACUACGUG
rnacentral:rRNA from 1 species